UUUCUACAGUGGGCUUUUCCGGCACCUGGAGACAAUUCUGUAUCAUCACCCAACAACACUGAAUAUAAUGAAAACAGCCGUGGGAACCUUAAUACAGAACUCCAGUGAAACAUCCAUUUCCAGCCAUGGAGUAAGCCUUGGAAGAAAUUCUGGGAGAAGGAGGAUGUGUAGCAGCUGUCCUUGCUGCGGAAGAAUGAAGAAUAACUACAACCUUGAUUUGAAGAACAGUUCAGACCAUAUCUUGGGGUUUUAUUUCUGUUUUCCCUCUGAUAAACUUUAGCCUCUGGUGAGCUUGGGGUUUAGGUCCCUGGGACUUUUGUGGUAGGUGCUGCAUUCAGCCUGCAAUGCACACAAAGCACGGUACAGUUGCUAAAUAGGGGCAUUAAACUUAGAAGUUCCUGUAGCCAUGCAGGCACUGACAUCCAUCCUCGGCCUUUAUUACACAAAUUAGUUGAGUGAAAUAAAGGAGAUUAUUAAAUAAU